GAUGAACGCUGGCGGCGUGCCUAAUACAUGCAAGUCGAGCGAACAGACGAGGAGCUUGCUCCUCUGACGUUAGCGGCGGACGGGUGAGUAACACGUGGAUAACCUACCUAUAAGACUGGGAUAACUUCGGGAAACCGGAGCUAAUACCGGAUAAUAUAUUGAACCGCAUGGUUCAAUAGUUAAAGACGGUUUUGCUGUCACUUAUAGAUGGAUCCGUGCCGCAUUAGCUAGUUGGUAAGGUAACGGCUUACCAAGGCAACGAUGCGUAGCCGACCUGAGAGGGUGAUCGGCCACACUGGAACUGAGACACGGUCCAGACUCCUACGGGAGGAAGCAGUAGGGAAUCUUCCGCAAUGGGCGAAAACAUGACGGAACAACGCCGCGUGAGUGAUGAAGGUCUUCGGAUCGUAAAACUCUGUUAUUAGGGAAGAACAAAUGUGUAAGUAACUAUGCACAUCUUGACGGUACCUAAUCAGAAAGCCACGGCUAACUACGUG
rnacentral:rRNA from 1 species